UCAAACUUGGUCAUUUAGAGGAAGUAAAAGUCGUAACAAGGUUUCCGUAGGUGAACCUGCGGAAGGAUCAUUAACAAGAUCUACCAAAGAUGCUUGUGGAGGUGGUUAAGAAGGGGGGGGUAGGGGGAAAGGAGGAGGGGGGAGAGAGGGGUGGAGUUUGUGGAAGCGGGUUUAUAUCCGAGUCUGCCGCUCCGCGCUUCUUUUCCCCUCUCCUUCUCCCCCUCCCCCCCCCCAUAUCAACCUAGUUACUAUCAAAUUGCCAAUGGACGUUUUUGUAAAAACAAAUCAAAACUUACAACAAUGGAUCUCUUGGCUCUUGCAUCGAUGAAGAACGCAGC
rnacentral:misc_RNA from 1 species